GACGAACGCUGGCGGCGUGCUUAACACAUGCAAGUCGAACGCUGAAGACCUGGCUUUUGUUGGGUUGGAUGAGUGGCGAACGGGUGAGUAACACGUGAGUAACCUGCCCUCUUCUUUGGGAUAACGCCCGGAAACGGGUGCUAAUACUGGAUAUUCACUGGCCUUCGCAUGGGGGUUGGUGGAAAGGUUUGUUCUGGUGGGGGAUGGGCUCGCGGCCUAUCAGCUUGUUGGUGGGGUGAUGGCCUACCAAGGCUUUGACGGGUAGCCGGCCUGAGAGGGUGACCGGUCACAUUGGGACUGAGAUACGGCCCAGACUCCUACGGGAGGCAGCAGUGGGGAAUAUUGCACAAUGGGCGAAAGCCUGAUGCAGCGACGCCGCGUGAGGGAUGGAGGCCUUCGGGUUGUAAACCUCUUUCGCUCAUGGUCAAGCCGCAACUGUGGGUUGUGGUGAGGGUAGUGGGUAAAGAAGCGCCGGCUAACUACGUG
rnacentral:rRNA from 1 species